UACGUAGGGUGCGAGCGUUAAUCGGAAUUACUGGGCGUAAGGCGUGCGCAGGCGGUAAGUUAAGUCUGAUGUGAAAGCCCCGGGCUCAACCUGGGAAUGGCAUUGGAAACUGGCUUGCUAGAGUGUGGCAGAGGGGGGUGGAAUUCCGCGUGUAGCAGUGAAAUGCGUAGAGAUGCGGAGGAACACCGAUGGCGAAGGCAGCCCCCUGGGCCGACACUGACGCUCAGGCACGAAAGCGUGGGGAGCAAACAGG
rnacentral:rRNA from 1 species